GUGGGGAAUAUUGCACAAUGGGCGAAAGCCUGAUGCAGCAACGCCGCGUGAGGGACGACGGCCUUCGGGUUGUAAACCUCUUUUAGUAGGGAAGAAGCGAAAGUGACGGUACCUGCAGAAAAAGCACCGGCUAACUACGUGCCAGCAGCCGCGGUAAUACGUAGGGUGCAAGCGUUAUCCGGAAUUAUUGGGCGUAAAGGGCUCGUAGGCGGUCUGUCGCGUCUGCUGUGAAAACUGGAGGCUCAACCUCCAGCCGGCAGUGGGUACGGGCAGACUAGAGUGCGGUAGGGGAGAUUGGAAUUCCUGGUGUAGCGGUGGAAUGCGCAGAUAUCAGGAGGAACACCGAUGGCGAAGGCAGAUCUCUGGGCCGUAACUGACGCUGAGGAGCGAAAGCGUGGGGAGCGAACAGGAUUAGAUACCCCGGUAGUCC
rnacentral:rRNA from 1 species